CAUAAAUGUUGUUUGGGGAACCAAAGCUAUCGCCUAUCUCAACAGGACCUCAGGGAAAACCCGUAGAAGCCUUAAGACACGGAUCAGUGAGCACCGCAGACAUAUACAGACAGUUUCAGGAAGUGAUGUCAGCGAGUACUGCCCCUAGAUAUAGGACCUUCCACCCCCACCUGGGAUAUGGAUGCCCGAUGAAGACCUAAAGGUCAAAACGUUGUUAUAAAUAACUAUCACCUGGGAGCAUGAGAAGCAGUGUGCGGCAUUUUCCUUUCUGUUUUCCCAGGGCAUA